CACGAAGGGGGCUAGCGUUGCUCGGAAUUACUGGGCGUAAAGCGCACGUAGGCGGAUUGUUAAGUCGGGGGUGAAAUCCUGGAGCUCAACUCCAGAACUGCCUUCGAUACUGGCGAUCUCGAGUUCGGGAGAGGUGAGUGGAACUGCGAGUGUAGAGGUGAAAUUCGUAGAUAUUCGCAAGAACACCAGUGGCGAAGGCGGCUCACUGGCCCGAUACUGACGCUGAGGUGCGAAAGCGUGGGGAGCAAACAGG
rnacentral:rRNA from 1 species